rnacentral:tRNA from 1 species
GCAGUGGUGGUUCAGCAGUGGUAGAAUUCCUGCCUUCCGUGCUGGAGACUCAGGCUCAAUUCCUGGCCAAUGCA